CACCCAUAGUUGAGAAAAAAACCUCUCCCACCCAUAGCAGCAUCAUAAAACAAAAUUUUGGCUCAAACUAUUCCCUCUUAAAACUUAAAAGUUAAAAAAUAAGAAUUCCACCCAUAGCAGUUUUGUAAAACACACGCCUGUAGGAAUCCCAAAUUGAUCUAUCAAGCAAAUUUCUCACUUGAAGGGUUAGGGCUUACUACCAUUGUUUGAAAUGUGGUUGCAUGUUAUUAUUGACAAACCCAAAUUAAUCUGUCAAAUAAAGAUAGCUCGCUGAUAAAAUUAUUAGAGUUAGGGCUCCAUCAAAGAGUUAGGGCUUAAAACCGAAGCGCACAAAUCAAGCAUUGAAGUUUGCUGUUCAGUAAGCUGCGGUGAUGCAGAGUUGAAUGAGAUGUGCACAGCUCUUAUUAUUUAUAUUGGGUCUGAACCAUCAUAUGCACUGAAUCCAGAUUGGGAAGGAGUGAGAUCGACACGUACUCGGACAAAUCUGACACUUUUUCAUUCACUUAAAGCAACAGACUUUUGUUGUUUAGAAACUUAGGAACUUUUUGGCGAUGCUCUGAAAAUGGUGGCGAGAAGUCAAUUUCAUAUGUUUGAAGUUAUUGAUCAAGACAAUUGGACAAUUGUGAUGUUUAUUAGCCAUGAUACUUAAUGAAUAUGUUCAGUCUUGUAAACUAUAUUGCUAGAAUGCACCUUGAAGUAUUUGGCUUUGUUAGUUAAUGUAAUGUACACGAAAUGUUUGUUUUUCGAGGUUCAUUGCAAUAUAUUUGAUUUUUUUCUUAUUUAUUAUUU